rnacentral:rRNA from 1 species
AAUCAACGCUGGCGGCGUGCCUCAGACAUGCAAGUCGAACGAUUAAAGCUCUCUUCGGAGAGUGUAUAGAGUGGCGCACGGGUGAGUAACACGUAAGUAAUCUACCUUUGAGUGGGGAAUAACCCGGGGAAACCCGAGCUAAUACCGCAUAAUGCAGCGGCAUCGCAAGAUGACAGUUGUUAAAGGAGCAAUCCGCUUAAAGAGGAGCUUGCGGCAGAUUAGCUAGUUGGUAAAGUAAUGGCUUACCAAGGCUACGAUCUGUAUCCGGUCUAAGAGGACGGUCGGACACACUGACACUGAAUAACGGGUCAGACUCCUACGGGAGGCAGCAGUCGGGAAUUUUGGGCAAUGGGCGAAAGCCUGACCCAGCAACGCCGCGUGAAGGAUGAAGUAUUUCGGUAUGUAAACUUCGAAAGAAUAGGAAGAAUAAAUGACGGUACUAUUUAUAAGGUCCGGCUAACUACGUGCCAGCCGCCGCCGUAAC